rnacentral:rRNA from 1 species
UACGUAGGGCGCAAGCGUUGUCCGGAUUUAUUGGGCGUAAAGAGCUCGUAGGCGGUUCAGCAAGUCGGGUGUGAAAACUCUGGGCUCAACCCAGAGACGCCACCCGAUACUGCUGUGACUAGAGUCCGGUAGGGGAGUGGGGAAUUCCUGGUGUAGCGGUGAAAUGCACAGAUAUCAGGAGGAACACCGGUGGCGAAGGCGCCACUCUGGGCCGGCACUGACGCUGAGGAGCGAAAGCGUGGGUAGCAAACAGG